rnacentral:sRNA from 1 species
ACUCAACAAGUUUUUAUUAAGAAGAGUGAGUCUUUUUUGCAAAAGCAAGCUGUCUAGAACAGAUCCUUGACCAAAUAGUUAGCUCUAAACCUGUUUUUUCGGAGUUU